rnacentral:rRNA from 1 species
AGAUUGAACGCUGGCGGCAUGCCUAACACAUGCAAGUCGAACGGGAGUAGCAAUACUCUAGUGGCGGACGGGUGAGGAAUACGUAGGAAUUUGCCCUUAAGUGGGGGAUAACCCGGGGAAACCCGGAUUAAUACCGCAUGACCUCGAAAGAGCAAAGUGGGGGAUCGCAAGACCUCACGCUUUUGGAGAAGCCUACGUCGGAUUAGCUAGUUGGUGAGGUAAUGGCUCACCAAGGCGACGAUCCGUAACUGGUCUGAGAGGAUGAUCAGUCACACCGGAACUGAGACACGGUCCGGACUCCUACGGGAGGCAGCAGUGGGGAAUAUUGGACAAUGGGCGCAAGCCUGAUCCAGCCAUGCCGCGUGUGUGAAGAAGGCCUUGGUUGUAAAGCUACUUUUGUACCGGAAAGAAAAGCACGUGGUUAAUACCCGUGGUGUCAUGACGGUACCGGAAGAAUAAGCACCGGCUAACUCGUCGCCAGACAACCGC